CAAAAUUUGGGUUUCUGAAAACUCGGGAGGGAGUUAGAAGAUAAGUGAGACGUGGAUGAAUCAGCUAUAUUAGAAAACCUGGGAAGGUGAGCUGAGUUGGAAACUUGAUAGAUCUAAUAAUUUAUUGGCUCAGGAUUUGUCAAUCACCCAGCUCAGCAAAUGAGAUUAGAGCAGAGUCAUAGGGGAGGGAGGGAGUGACGCAGCAAACUAUUUGCACCAAGAAAAUCUAGUCAAAAGACCUCUGUGUAAUCAUAUUGCGGCACCGGUUUUUCUUGCAGCAGCUGCUGCUUGCGAAGGAGGUCCGCCCAACUGCAGCUCUCUGCCGUCUCUGGCUCGCUCCUGCGAGACUGGCCUCGCCACUCUCUGCACCCAAGCCCAUCCUACCGUUGCCUCUGUCCACUUCUCACAGCAUUCAUCCCCGCAGCAGCCUCCACCGUUAUUCCCGCAGCCCAGCCAGCCACUACUGCUCGCUCCACCUCUGCCCCAGCCACCACCGCUUCUGCUAUUCCGGUGAUUGUGAUGUGAUCCCACAGAAUUAUAAGAUGAAAGUGGAACAAAAGCUCUUCUGCUUGUGACUUAUUCCUCCAUUAUUGAACAUGCUUCCUUCGGAUUUUGGCUCAGAGAGGUAAGUUUAUAACACUGCCUGAUUUUCUUACCUCUGCCUCAUCUUUACAAUCAACUGAGGAGGAAGAUAUGGGCUUUUUCUUUCCUUUUCCUGUCUGGAUAGGACCCUCCUCUAAUAUAUCUUUCUAGCAGAGACAGUGGUAAUGCUCACCUGCUUUUCUCUGGGGUUGCAAUAGUUGACAGGGUAUAGGGAAAUAGAAGCAACUUAGUAUUAUAGGGGAACCUAAAUUGGGAGGUACUUCCAGUGUAUGUUUGUACUUCCAGUGUAUGCUUGUUAAUUAUAAACAUUUUCACACUCUUCGCCACCCUCAAUGUUGACCUCUGUUAAAUUCCUGGCUCCAGCAAAUAUUGAUUGGACCUCUUUUAAUUGUUAAAUGUUACUCUGCAUUAAAAGGUUAGGAACAUGGGUGUAUCUCUCCCUCUAUUUUACAGAGAAGGACCAGGCAUCUUGAAGCCCCUUCUGUUCCUUUAUUUAGCCUCCUUGAGCUAAAGCAGUAAAACUGCUUCUGAGCUUUCUGUGAGGGCAGGCCAGCCCCUUUCCUUUAUCCCCCAUGUCAGUGGUGUCCAGUCAAAGACCAUCAAGGACAUACCCAUAGUUGAAUAAGCACAUACCCAAGUUGAACAUAGUUGAACAAAUUGAACAUACCCAUAGUCUCCAUCAUUGCCAUGAGGGAGAACACACAUCCUGGGGAGGCAUUGUAUGUUAUCAUUAAGUGUUAGAAAACACUGCAGAAUUUGGGCUUUGAUUUUGUGAUUUGGUGGAGGGUCUGUGGAAGUUGGGGUUUACUCUACAUUGUAGGAAAAUUUAAUGGUUCAUAGCUCAAUAAAUCUCAUCUAUAGGGAGAAAAGUUUAGAAGAAAGACAAAGCUGUAACUGGUAAAGAGGUUGUAGCCACUUACUUUAGCUAGAAUGGCAGUGGUGUUUAGCAUUUUGUGAGUAACACAGUGAUUUUGUUUUUGUCUGUGCUUAGACAAAAUUAGAUGGCCUCGGUUUGUCUCAUUUUAUUACAGUUUCAUAGUAACCUUGUUUGAGGUUGGUAUUCUAUGAGAUAGGUUAUAUCCAAUUGAAGAAUGGCAUGGCCUAGUUGUGAGGACCAGGCCAGCUUCCUGAUGUCAGGGAUUGCUUUUUAUAUUUCCUUCUCUUUCACCCCUUCUCAGGGAUGAAAUUGAAGGUUGUCAUCACUCCUUUAGCUUGUGGAUGUUCAUCUGAUUUGCCUUUAGACUAGUGUAAAGGAACUUUAGGCUUUGAGAGUAGGCCAUAAAUUUCAACCCACAUACCAAAGAAGUCUAUACUAGGAUUUAGGACCCAAGUGUGACUAACGAUAGAAUUUUUACCUUAAUUUUUUUUUAUAAUUGUUCUUUAAAAAGUAUAUCAUUUGUACAGUCCUGAAGGCUUGUUGAGAUGGCUCUUGGGGCUUGUUAGAAGUUUGGUAUUCUUAGUUCUCAGGGGAUAUACUUAAAUACAAUAAAAUUCCAUUUUUUGGUACGUCAUAAUUUAUAGUGUAAAUUAUAGUAUUUAGUAUUAUAUGUCAUAUGGUAGAGUGGUUAGUCUCUGAAGCCAGGCUGCUUAAAUUCAAAUCCCAAUUUUGUAACUUAUUAGUUGGGUGACCUUGUACAGGUUAGUUUAUGUGUCCUAGUUUUCAUAUCUGUAAAUAUAUAAUAAUUGCACGUUUAUCUCGUAGAUUAUUAUGAAGAUUUAAUUGGUUUAUAUGAAGUGCUUGAAAUAUGCAUGGCACGCAGGGAGUGCUGUAUAAGCGUAUCUAUGUUAUUUUUAUUACUAAGUUAAAUCUGUGAAAUAUUCAAAACCGGUAUACAAUAAAAGUGUGUAACUUCUUAUUAAAUCAUUAAUAAUUGUCCCCAUAAUUUGUUUUCUAAUUUACAAAAAGUGAAAGAACCUGCUUUACAUUUUAAUUACAAAAUCUCCAGGAUUUCUGCAAGUAUUAAGGAAAGCUAAGUGGCAAAUUUAGCAGCAGUACUUAAGGUACUGACAAGCCCGAUUAAUGAUGAGGAAAAUAUAGUAACUAUAUGGUAAUUCUUCACCACUGAAUGCAUUCAUUAUCUUUGUAGCUGUGUACACCAAAUAACCCUCAACCACAGGACAUUUGUUCACUGGCCAAUGGUGCAUUAUCAAAUUAAAAUAUUUGGAAACCAGAGAAAAAUAGAAUACAGAAAAUAAGAAUCAUGAAAUUAUAUAUCAUCCAUAGGUACCCAAGAGAUUUUACUUUUUAGUUACUACACAGAUAUGUGCAACAUGUAGCUGAUUAUUUUAAAGCAUAUAAUCUUUUAAAAAAUAAAUAUAAUGGAUAAGUUUACAUGGAACACAUUUCUGAAAUGUAUUUUCUCCGAUUUUUUUUUUUUUUGCCAAAUAAUACAGGUUUUAAAGAGAGAAAAAAGUGUCCAAAAGUAAACAACCUCGGCUUGUUUUUUAAAAACUCAUGACCCAUUUGUUGACCUAUUCUCAGGGAAUUUUAAGACAAUAAUAAAUACCUCUCCAGGUCCUGUAGCCAAUGGGUAAUCACUACCCUCCAUUCUGCAUGUGCACACAUCUCACUUCUACUGGCUCUGUGGAGGUUUGUGUGU
rnacentral:lncRNA from 1 species